ACGGCCAUAGCCUCCUCACAGUACCGCGUCCCGUCUGAUCCGCGAAGUCAACUAGGAGAGCGCUCGGUUAGUACCACCUGGGAAUCCCGGGUGCCGUCGUUU